GGAACCAUGCGAGGAGAGAACGCCUAAUUCCGUCAGGUCCGGAAGGAAGCAGCGGUAAGCGAAUCUUUUCUGCGCCGUGGGGGCGCA
rnacentral:SRP_RNA from 1 species